CAAGUCGAACGAGAAAGUGGAGCAAUCCAUGAGUAAAGUGGCGCACGGGUGAGUAACACGUGACUAACCUACCCUUGAGUGGGGAAUAACCUAGGGAAACCUGGGCUAAUACCGCAUAACACCUACGGGUCAAAGGAGCAAUUCGCUUAAGGAGGGGGUCGCGGCAGAUUAGCUAGUUGGCGGGGUAAUGGCCCACCAAGGCGGUGAUCUGUAUCCGGCCUGAGAGGGCGCACGGACACACUGGAACUGAAACACGGUCCAGACUCCUACGGGAGGCAGCAGUGGGGAAUUUUGCGCAAUGGGGGAAACCCUGACGCAGCAACGCCGCGUGGAGGAUGAAGUCCCUUGGGACGUAAACUCCUUUCGAUCGGGACGAUUAUGACGGUACCGGAGGAAGAAGCCCCGGCUAACUUCGUGCCAGCAGCCGCGGUAAUACGAGGGGGGCAAGCGUUGUUCGGAAUUAUUGGGCGUAAAGGGUGCGUAGGCGGUUCGGUAAGUCUUAUGUGAAAUCUUCAGGCUCAACUUGAAGUCUGCAUGAGAAACUGCCGGGCUUGAGUGUGGGAGAGGUGAGUGGAAUUUCCGGUGUAGCGGUGAAAUGCGUAGAUAUCGGAAGGAACACCUGUGGCGAAAGCGGCUCACUGGACCAUAACUGACGCUGAUGCACGAAAGCUAGGGGAGCAAACAGGAUUAGAUACCCUGGUAGUCCUAGCCCUAAACGAUGAUCGCUUGGUGUGACGGGUACCCAAUCCCGCCGUGCCGAAGCUAACGCGUUAAGCGAUCCGCCUGGGGAGUACGUCGCAAGGCUGAAACUCAAAGGAAUUGACGGGGCCCGCACAAGCGGUGGAGCAUGUGGUUUAAUUCGACGCAACGCGAAGAACCUUACCUGGGCUCGAAAUGUACAGGAAUCCCGGUGGAAACAUCGGCGCCCGCAAGGGGCCUGUAUAUAGGUGCUGCAUG
rnacentral:rRNA from 1 species